rnacentral:rRNA from 1 species
GCCUAUGACCGAAUCACCUGGGAUGUGCCCAAUCUCACCAGAGCUCAGACGCUAAGCGGGGUUUGAGCCUGGAUAGCCCUUGGAUGGGCGCCCACCGUGCAUAAAACAUGUGCCGUAGGCU